rnacentral:lncRNA from 1 species
AUAUAUUUCAACUCACUUUGUUUUGAGUUGAUUAAUGGUUCACCAAUCUACUAGGCUUUGAAUUUCAUGGUUAAUGUUUUGUUUUUAAGUGCAUGCUAGCAUGAUUCCGCCUUUAAUUGUUAAUUGCAUGCUUAUUGAUGUUGCUUAAAAGAACAUGUUUUCACAAAAUAAUCCUUCACUUUCUACUUCACCAAAAAUCUUCGACAAAUUGCCCGUGAUUUGUGCAAAACUAAGUGUGCAUGUGACAGAUGCUGACACGUCUGGAAAAGCAGAUGCCUUUUCGAGAUCUGAAAUCGACGCUCAGACAAAUUACCCGUGAUUUACGCAAAGCUGAGUGUGCAUGUGACUGAUGUUGACACGUCUGAAAAAGUAGAUGCCUCUCCGAUUUCUGAGCUUGCCUCUUCGAGUUCUGAGCUCCGUCGAGUGUAGAGGUUGCAUGUGACAAGUACGGACAAAUCUGGAAAAAAGGAUGGCCCGUGGUUUCUGAGCAUGCCUUGCUUUUGAGAAAGCUAGCAUCUUUUUUAUUU